UACGUAGGGUGCGAGCGUUGUCCGGAAUUAUUGGGCGUAAAGAGCUCGUCGGCGGCUUGUCGCGUCGGAUGUGAAAGCCCGGGGCUUAACCCCGGGUCUGCAUUCGAUACGGGCAGGCUAGAGUUCGGUAGGGGAGACUGGAAUUCCUGGUGUAGCGGUGAAAUGCGCAGAUAUCAGGAGGAACACCGGUGGCGAAGGCGGGUCUCUGGGCCGAUACUGACGCUGAGGAGCGAAAGCGUGGGGAGCGAACAGG
rnacentral:rRNA from 1 species